rnacentral:sRNA from 1 species
CUGAGGCGCGGCGGCCCCGCGGAGCAGCGCAGUAUGGCGGGCGGGGCCCGGGAGGUGCUGACACUGCAGUUGGGACAUUUUGCCGGUUUCGUGGGCGCGCACUGGUGGAACCAGCAGGAUGCUGCGCUGGGCCGAGCGACCGAUUCCAAGGAGCCCCCGGGAGAGCUGUGCCCCGACGUCCUGUAUCGUACGGGCCGGACGCUGCACGGCCAGGAGACCUACACGCCGCGACUCAUCCUCAUGGAUCUGAAGGGUAGUUUGAGCUCCCUAAAAGAGGAAGGUGGACUCUACAGGGACAAACAGUUGGAUGCUGCAAUAGCAUGGCAGGGGAAACUCACCACACACAAAGAGGAACUCUAUCCCAAGAACCCUUAUCUCCAAGACUUUCUGAGUGCAGAGGGAGUGCUGAGUAGUGAUGGUGUUUGGAGGGUCAAAUCCAUUCCCAAUGGCAAAGGUUCCUCACCACUCACCACCGCUACAACUCCAAAACCACUUAUCCCUACAGAGGCCAGCAUCAGGGUCUGGUCAGACUUCCUCAGAGUCCAUCUCCAUCCCCGGAGCAUCUGUAUGAUUCAGAAGUACAACCACGAUGGGUAUGGGGACCCCAGAGGCUUUGAGGGAAGCAGGUCGGCUGGAGGCUUUUGGCCAAGGGGAAAGUGUCCUAAAGGAACCCAAGUACCAGGAAGAGCUGGAGGACAGGCUGCACUUCUACGUGGAGGAAUGUGACUACUUGCAGGGCUUCCAGAUCCUGUGUGACCUGCACGAUGGCUUCUCUGGGGUAGGCGCGAAGGCGGCAGAGCUGCUACAAGAUGAAUAUUCAGGGCGGGGAAUAAUAACUUGGGGCCUGCUACCUGGUCCCUACCAUCGUGGGGUGAGUGGAACUUAGAGAAGUAAACAGUCACACGGUGGGGAGGGAGAAAUGAGAAUCCCAGUGGGAGAGUUGCUUAAUACAAACUACUCUUUCUUCACCAGGAGGCCCAGAGAAACAUCUAUCGUCUAUUAAACACAGCUUUUGGUCUCGUGCACCUGACUG